rnacentral:lncRNA from 1 species
AUUACAUUUUUCAAUCUGUAAUAUGUAAAUGACAUCAAGAAACAUUUAUAAAAUUGUGACUAUCUUUUUCUUACAGCACUAACUUUGAUGCCUGUAAAGCCAUUUGCAUGUUUGGCAGACACUGUUUUUUGUUGAAACACUAUGCAGCCCUAAACAUAGAUGUCCACAGAUACAGUACCUGCAAGUCCCAGCCACAGGACACAGUACACAGGGUCACGUUUGACUGGGAAAUUGAACUGGAUUCUGCUUCUGCUAAACUUGGUGAAAGUUUGUGGCCAAUUUACAGAGAACACAGAGCUUCAGUGAGAAUGUACCUGUCUAAAUAAAUGGGGCAAGUGGGGAGCAGAGAUUAUCUCAAAGGUGUGGAGUUUUUUCCUUGUUUUGUUGUAACCUAUUGUGAAACCUUCUAUUUCGUGCUUCAUUUAAAGUCACCUGAAGACUUUACAUUGAUUUGAAUAGAGGUUAAGUCCCACAUUUAAUUUUUAAUAUUUCAGUUCAUAUAUUUUAUCUAAUAAGGAUAAUAAUCAGCAUGGUUGGAACCUAUAGAAUUCAUAAAUUAUAUUGUUAGAGUAAUUACAAUAUUAACUCAUAAGCUAUCAAAACUAACCCUCGAAAUCUCUUGUUAUAUCCUUCUAAUGGUAUUACAGUUACGCCUAUUCACUUUAUCUCAGUAUUAAACUGAAUCUUAAACUAACAGUUUUACACUUUGCACUUCUUUACCUUAGUCAAUGUCAUUCUAAUAAGGAUAAUAAUCAGCAUGGUUGGAACCUAUAGAAUUCAUAAAUUAUAUUGUUAGAGUAAUUACAAUAUUAACUCAUAAGCUAUCAAAACUAACCCUCGAAAUCUCUUGUUAUAUCCUUCUAAUGGUAUUACAGUUACGCCUAUUCACUUUAUCUCAGUAUUAAACUGAAUCUUAAACUAACAGUUUUACACUUUGCACUUCUUUACCUUAGUCAAUGUCAUUCUGUUUGAUCCAGCCUGUGUAUUUAACAAAAUGCAACAGUUUAUUUGGAUUUAUUUCCCUUGAACACCAUGGCAGUUAUGAGGUUAAAUCAUCAAUUGCUAAAUUAUUAAUUCAUGUAAAAGUCUAGUAUUUUUCCAAUAAAAAAACAUCAUUAUCAUUACUCA